rnacentral:rRNA from 1 species
AUUGAACGCUGGCGGCAUGCUUUACACAUGCAAGUCGAACGGUAACAGGCCGCAAGGUGCUGACGAGUGGCGAACGGGUGAGUAAUGCAUCGGAACGUGCCCAGUCGUGGGGGAUAACGCAGCGAAAGCUGCGCUAAUGCCGCAUACGAUCUAUGGAUGAAAGCGGGGGACCGUAAGGCCUCGCGCGAUUGGAGCGGCCGAUGUCAGAUUAGGUAGUUGGUGGGGUAAAGGCUCACCAAGCCAACGAUCUGUAGCUGGUCUGAGAGGACGACCAGCCACACUGGGACUGAGACACGGCCCAGACUCCUACGGGAGGCAGCAGUGGGGAAUUUUGGACAAUGGGCGCAAGCCUGAUCCAGCAAUGCCGCGUGCAGGAAGAAGGCCUUCGGGUUGUAAACUGCUUUUGUACGGAACGAAACGGUCUGGGUUAAUACCUCGGGCUAAUGACGGUACCGUAAGAAUAAGCACCGGCUAACUACGUGCCAGCCGCCGCAGUAAAAC